CCCUUAGAUGUUCGGGGCCGCACGCGUGCUACACUGAAGGAAUCAGCACGUCUUUCUCCUUGUCCGAAAGGACUGGGUAACCCGCUGAACCUCCUUCGUGCUAGGGAUUGGGGCUUGUAAUUCUUCCCCAUGAACGAGGAAUUCCCAGUAAGCGCGAGUCAUAAGCUCGCGUUGAUUACGUCCCUGCCCUUUGUACACACCGCCCGUCGCUACUACCGAUUGGAUGGUUUAGUGAGAUCCUCGGAUUGGUCCCGGCGCGGCCUCUGGUCGUGCCGGAGUGCCGAAAAGAAUGUCGAACUUGAUCAUCUAGAGGAAGUAAAAGUCGUAACA
rnacentral:rRNA from 1 species